rnacentral:misc_RNA from 1 species
GAUGAAGAACGCAGCGGAAUGCGAUAAGUAAUGCGAAUUGCAGAAUUCCAGUGAGUCAUCGAAUCUUUGAACGCACAUUGCGCCCUUUGGUAUUCCGAAGGGCAUGCCUGUUCGAGCGUCAUUAUCACCCCUCAAGCCCCCGGCUUGGUGUUGGACGGCUUGGUGGAGACCCUUUUGUGGCCCACCCCUCCCAAAGACAAUGACGGCGGCCUCGUUGGACCCCCGGUACACUGAGUUCUUCACGGGACACGUAUCGGACACACGGGUUUACGGGUCACGGUCUGCCUCCCCUCAGGGAGAACUUUUCUAAGGUUGACCUCGGAUCAGGUAGGGAUACCCGCUGAACUUAAGCAUAUCAAUAAGCGGAGGA